GAAAAGGCUUUAAUUAAAGCCAUAAAAGCUUUCUUGAAAAAUCGUUU
rfam:Candidatus Gottesmanbacteria bacterium RIFCSPLOWO2_02_FTLL_38_8 rifcsplowo2_02_scaffold_14697, whole genome shotgun sequence.